GCGGUUAUUCCCUCUGACCAAGCUGUCAGUAGAGAGAUCCGUCAUGUAGAGGAAACUACUCCACAUCAUCUGUUUAUGCAGGAGGACGAGAUGGCCUCGUGGCUUCAUUACCCACUCGAUGACCCCUCCUUCGAACGUGAUCUCUACUCCGAUCUCCUAUAUCCCACGCCCACUUCUACCUUAACCACCGCCGCGCUGCCACGAGAAAACCGUACGUCUACGUUUGAGAUCCGUCCACCUCCGCCACAACCAUCGCCUGCAGCGCCGAUCGGAACGGCUCCUCGACCGCCUAUACCUCCUUCUAGGCGCACCGUCACAGAAAAUUCAAAUCGAUUCCAG
rnacentral:misc_RNA from 1 species